CCCGCCCCUUCCCGGACUCCCCAGCCGAGGCGAGGGGCGGGGGCGCUGGGGACCCCGAGAGAGGGCGUAGGGGAUUGACGGAGGAACGCUGAGAUCUCCAGCAUUCCCGGACUCGGACUGCUUGCUGAGGCUGCAGUCGAGAUUUGGGGCUGUCUCGUCUUUCCGGGCUUGAACGUAAAAUUCUCGCCCAUGGCGCAGUGGAAAGCUUUGAAGUCCGAGGUUGUGGGAUCAGAGUUGCCCCCUCGGGGGAUAAGUGACCUUGGAAAGGUCACUUCCCUUUACCCAGCCUGGCUGAAUAUGAAGGCAGCUCAGACCGAGAAGACUGGUGCCCACCGCUCGCCUCCGGGCAUCCCUCCUGGCGGAGUUGGGAAGUCUGGGAUCCUUCGCCUGUCUCUCUGAUCGUGCGGAGCCAUAGCUGCAGAAGCAGCAGCUCUGCCCCCUGCUGGACACGUGAGGCAGCGCGCACUUUUCCUGUUCCAGAUGCAGCGCCCUGGUGGUGCUGGGGGAAGAGAUUUUUUGACUCACUCUGAUGGAAACAGCAAAACUGGGCGGAAUAAAAAUCCCAGGUUUUUUUUCUCUCUA